AUGAGGUCUUCGGAUCGUAAGCACUCUCGCCAGGGAUGAUAAUGACAGUACCUGGUAAAGAAACCCCGGCUAACUCCGUGCCAGCAGCCGCGGUAAUACGGAGGGGGUUAGCGUUGUUCGGAAUUACUGGGCGUAAAGCGCGCGUAGGCGGAUUGGAAAGUUGGGGGUGAAAUCCCGGGGCUCAACCCCGGAACUGCCUCCAAAACUAUCAGUCUAGAGUUCGAGAGAGGUGAGUGGAAUUCCAAGUGUAGAGGUGAAAUUCGUAGAUAUUUGGAGGAACACCAGUGGCGAAGGCGGCUCACUGGCUCGAUACUGACGCUGAGGUGCGAAAGUGUGGGGAGCAAACAGGAUUAGAUACCCUGGUAGUCCACACCGUAAACGAUGAAUGCCAGUCGUCGGGCAGUAUACUGUUCGGUGACACACCUAACGGAUUAAGCAUUCCGCCUGGGGAGUACGGUCGCAAGAUUAAAACUCA
rnacentral:rRNA from 1 species